rnacentral:lncRNA from 1 species
CCCUCUCUUUAAAUUCGAGAUUUCUGAUAAAUUUACUUGUUUGAUGUCUCAUUUCUGUUCCAAGGAUUUCGUUUCCUAAUAGACCGAUUGGAAAAAUGUGUAAACAUUUCAAGUUUUUAGCAAAAAAUCUACUAAAAGUGUCGGGUAGCAAAGAAACAUAAAUUAAAAGAAGCUUCGUAAAACAAUUUUCGAAAUCGCGAGUUAGUAAUGUGGCGAUCUUAAGGUCAAGAUAGGUAUUUACUAUCCCGUGUUACGAAACUUUGGUUCAAUAUACUCUAGGGAGAAAUAUCUAAAAAUGUCUUUUUCAGCUUCCACGGGAUCCUUCCACUCAUUAAAUUCGUCGGGACAUAUGUCUUUUCCUGUUUUAAGAUUUAUGAUUUCGAACGAAUCAUAGCUUAGACCCAAAUGAGAGUUAGCAUAAAGCUUCAAAUCGCGAAGAAAAAAUAUUCCUCCACUCCAUCCUAAUACGGCAGAGCCUAUGUAUGCAGGCGGCACUACUAUAAUAUCAACACGCCUAUUGAUUUUAGAAGAAUUUGACAAAAUGACUGCUAGCAUUACAUAACCUUUCUUUCCUCCGCAAGAAUGUUCCUGAACAGAAAUUAGUCGGAAUUGAAAUUCCUCGUCUAAAAUUCUUAAGAGAACAUCCACCAGAUGUUUUGUAGAAUGAGUAUGUGAUGGACUCAACACCAUAUCAACGUCCGCUCCAACAGGCUUUCCCCGACGAAAUCCACCUACUAGACAAGACUGAAUUUUAAUUCCAUCCGGCAUCCGUGAGACAAUAGUUUCAUAAAUCUCCGUGGCUUCCUCAAUGGUUACAGUUUUACAAAAAUCUUCAUAAAACUCCAGACCAACUUUUAUUUGUUUGGUAAAUGAAUCUUUGUGCUUCCUAACUUGUUCAAUCGUACGCCAACCCUUUUGGUACCAUUCAGCAGCAUGAGAAGCACCAACUCCGAAAAUAUUGUAAAAUAAAAGCAAAAUUUUUGAAGCCGGAUCCUUCUGAAAUUCCUCAGCUUCUUUUAAGGUUCCCGUUGAUGCAAACUCUUUCCAAAGAUGUACUAUUUUGGGCCCACAACCGGGCAUUUUCUCUAAUUGUUCUGCGCUAUCGAUAGGCAAGGGAAAAGCUUUAAUGGUUGCAAUCGCCAUUCCGUAUGCCCUAGUCCUUACUGAUUCACCGUUUACUUCUCUGCAUGUUUUCAAGACACUUAAAGCAUUCACAAAGGCUUGAUUGACACAUUUAAGCGGUGUCUUUCUCUGGCACGCAUACCGUGGAAUUUCAAGAACGUAAGGGUAUUCUUUCGUAGUCGGAUAAACUGAUCCUUCUUGAUCAACAUUGUCAAUGCUUUUAACUUCGUUAUUAUUUUCUGUGUUUGGAGUUUCGUGGUUUUCAAAAUCGUUUGGUGCUUCAGUGUGCGAAGCAGGUCUUGUUGAAGGUGUGUACGGCGAGCCAACUUUCAUCUCUGGUUUUCGAUGCCAUAUCACAUAUGGAUUCCCGGGCGUUAAAGAUUCUUUAGGCUCGUUAAGCCAGUCAAUUUUAACAAUCAACUUACACGAUACACACGUCUCUAACGGUGUUCCAAUUGUUCUUAGCUCUCGCCGAACUCUGUUAAUUUGACUGUAAUUGACAAAAAUGUAAUCCGCUUUUGCUGCAUCGUUUGUGAAUUCUCCUCCAAAAUUUACAAUUUUUGAUCGCGCAUCUUCAUAUUGUGAAUUGGACAAGCGAUUAUGUAGUACAUAAUUUGUACUGCUUGCAAGAAUCUUCAUUUUGAACAAUUACAACUAAGGGAACAAAAAACGUAUUGCCUAUUAAUUGACCUUGUAAUAAAUUUCGAGGUUACCCAAUUCUUAGAACAAACUAAUAUGGAAAAUAAAAACAAGCUAAAGGCACAAUAAAGCAUCUACUAAGUUACAAAGCAAUGAUAGACAUGAUGAUGAAACCGACAUGUUUUAAGGUAAUUUUAUUUUAGAGCAAUGCAACUUUUCCUUAUGUGCUAAUAAUGACACAUUAAAAGGAAUAAAAAAAAUGUUAAUAAUACGUAAGCAAACUACUUUUGAAAUUACACUAUCAUACAGUUUCUUUAUUAUUUCUGUGCUAUUGUUUAAGUACUAUUGCAAAUCGCUUUGCAUUCUAUCCAGUUUAUCGCAAUCAUUUGCUUGUAAUUCAACUUAUCCCAAAGAAUUCUUUAGUUGUAUCAACAGUUCUACGGUGAAACUAAUAAUUCAAUAUACAAAAAUAC